rnacentral:rRNA from 1 species
GUGCCAGCCGCCGCGGUAAUACGUAGGGGGCGAGCGUUGUCCGGAAUCAUUGGGCGUAAAGCGCGUGUAGGCGGCUUGGUAAGUCUGGUGUGAAAUCCUGGGGCUUAACCCCAGACCUGCACUGGAUACUGCCAAGCUUGAGUCCGGGAGGGGAGAGCGGAAUUCCUAGUGUAGCGGUGAAAUGCGCAGAUAUUAGGAAGAACACCGGUGGCGAAGGCGGCUCUCUGGAACGGUACUGACGCUGAGACGCGAAAGCGUGGGGAGCGAACAGGAUUAGAAACCCGCGUAGUCC